rnacentral:lncRNA from 1 species
AAAUCCCAUUGUCAGGGUCUUACAAUAACUGUUGGUUAACUUAAUAUGACUCCCUGUGGUAGCACAACUCACUUUUCUGCUCACCUACAGCACUAAACAUUCCCACAGAUGUUCUAAUUCUGACCUAGAGGGUAGUAGGGAUUAUAAAGAAUAUAAUAAGGGGCAAUUCCAAGGAAGCCCAGUUUGUAUCGCCUAGAACUGAACAUGGUGGUACAUUUAUGUAUGGAGAAGAAGCAAGGGAUUUGGGGUGUCAGAGGGAGAUGGAUAGUACGGGCUGGGGUAUUUGGGGCCAGUAAGAAUUGCCAAGAUCACUGGGGUGAGUCAGGCCCUGAUUAGUUAGGACAGGGCUUCUUAGGGCCUGGAAACUUCCAUAGAGUAUGGAUCUCAUCCUCAGCACGAGUGUGAGUGCUUUACAGGAGAUUCCAUCUAAGCAGAAGCCAUCUACCUGCACACCUGGAAAGACCAAACUGAAUUAGCCUUAGAAAGAUACCUGAAGAUCUGAAAGAUCUCUUCCUCUAAUCUUCCAGUUUUGUCCUUCCCUUGUCUUGGAGAAACUGCUCCCAUCCUGCAGGUACCCCCAACAGGUAAACACUCACUCAUUUGAAGCUUUGGCCUUGAAGAUUUCAAAGGAAGGAGCUGAGAUAAAAGAGCACUCUGUACUGAGUGCAUCUGCCACUCCGAAGAGCAAGGAGCUUGAACUGGAAUUCACUCUGGCACCCUUAAGUCAUCUCAGCCCUUUAGACCCCACCUUCACUGGUACCAUUAAUUCUUUUGGGUUUCUGGGCCAUGGCAUCUUUU